rnacentral:tRNA from 2 species
GCGAGGAUGGCGGAAUUGGCAGACGCGCAGGUUUGAGGGGCCUGUUGGAACUUAUCUCCAGUGAGGGUUCAAGUCCCUUUCCUCGCA